rnacentral:misc_RNA from 1 species
UUUCCGUAGGUGAACCUGCGGAAGGAUCAUUAAAAAAUACACCUGAUUCGUGUUUAUAAUAUCCUACCCUUUGUGAAUUUGUUUUGUUUUAAUAUGUGUCUUCCCUGUUGGUUUUGAAAGUUGUAAAAACGUUUUCGAACCUCAGGGACUAGGCCAAACCUUUUUUUAAAUUCAACUUUUGUAUUCAUUUGUCUAAAUUAUUUUUAUAAUUAAAAACAACUUUGACAAUGGAUCUCUUGGUUCUCGCAACGAUGAAGAACGCAGCAAAAUGCGAUAAGUAGUGUGAAUUGCAGAAUACGUGAAUCAUCGAAUCUUCGAACGCAUAUUGCACUUUUUGGUUUACCAAAAAAGUAUGUCUGUUUGAGUAUCAGUAAAAUAUUCUCAUAAAACUAUUUGUUUUUAUGGUUAUGAGUGUUUUACAACGAUAAACAAGUUGUUUCACUUUAAAUUCUUUGUCUUUUAAAAAAUCAUUAAAAACUGAUUUUUUUUUAAAAUUGGAUAAAAUUUUCCCGUAAAAGGAAUAACCUAAACAAUUUUAAUUAAAAUUGGUUUGAUUUCUUUAAGACUUUAAAGGAAAAAAAGUAAAAAUUAACUUGAUCUCAAAUCAGAUAAGAGUACCCGCUGAACUAAGCAUAUCAAUAAGCGGAGGAAAAGAAACUAACUAGGAUUCCCUCAGUAACGGCGAGUGAAGCGGGAAGAGCUCAAAUUGAAAUCUUCAAGGUUCUACCUUGACGAACUGUAGUUUAAAGAAGUGUUUUCUGUUGGAGUUUGGUAAAGUUCUUUGGAAUAGGACAUCAUAGAGGGUGAGAUCCCGUAUUUGACCAUUAUUUCCAACUUUGUGAUACACUUUCAAAGAGUCGGAUUGUUUGGGAAUGCAGUCCAAAAUGGGUGGUAAAUUUCAUCUAAGCUAAAUACUGGCGAGAGACCGAUAGCGAACAAGUACCGUGAGGAAAGAUGAAAAGAACUUUGAAAAGAGAGUUAAACAGUACGUGAAAUGUCAAAAGGGAAGCGUUUGACACCAGUGUUGUUUUCUCGAAAAUCAAUUAAAAAUGGCGGGAUUUUGUGUUGUAUUGACUUACCAGCUUUCUGCACUUUUUCCUGUCUUUUUUAAUGCACUUUUCGUUUAACAAGUCAACAUCAAUUUCUUUUGUUGUAAAAGGGUAUUGGAAGGUGGCUUCUUUCGGAGAAAGUGUUUAUAGCCUUUGCCUCUGCAAUCGGAGAGAUUGAGGUCUGCAGCGUAGAUCCUUCGGGUUAGAUGCAUUUGUGCUAAGCUAUAGCUUUAUAGACAACUUGUUGACUAUGAUCAGUCAUGUAGCUUACUCGCUUAUGCUAUU